rnacentral:piRNA from 2 species
UAGUCCCUGAUUUUAGUGGGAUUGCU